UACGUAGGUGACAAGCGUUGUCCGGAUUUACUGGGCGUAAAGAGCGCGCAGGCGGUCGUUCAAGUCGAGUGUGAAAGCCCCCGGCUCAACUGGGGAGGGUCACUCGAUACUGAUCGACUCGAAGGCAGGAGAGGGAAGUGGAAUUCCCGGUGUAGUGGUGAAAUGCGUAGAUAUCAGGAGGAACACCGGUGGCGAAGGCGGUUCUCUGGGCCUGUACUGACGCUGAGGAGCGAAAGCGUGGGGAGCGAACAGG
rnacentral:rRNA from 1 species